rfam:Shinella sp. 65-6 SCNpilot_expt_1000_bf_scaffold_5964, whole genome shotgun sequence.
AGGUUAUCCCGUGGUGAUUUGGCCGGCCGGCUUGCAGCCACGUUAAACAAGUAGCUAAAAAGGCCGGGUGUCAAACCGG